AGAUAAUGUGCAGAAGCUUGAGAAUGAUAAAGUCAUAAGUCCACCCAAAGCUUCUAUCUUAGCAGCAGAAGCUAUCUCAUUUGAGGUAGGACGUGCAGACGAUGAGCAUGAAAAUGAUAUCCAAUUGGAUGGUAGCUCGAAUGGCAUAGAACAACAUGGUGAAUUUCAGAUAAGAUCAUCUGGAUCCACUCCACUGCAAACAACAAUAGAGUCUAGAGAUGAGUGACU
rnacentral:lncRNA from 1 species